GCUGACGGCUGCAGCCUUGGCUUUCCGUUCCUCCAUGGGCAUGCUGUCCAGCUUCGUGGCCUUGAAAAGCAUACAGCCAAAAGGAGAAUUGACUACCAGCUUAAGUGACAGACAGCUCAAGUCGUUUAAAUUUUAACAUGGCCCAGCAAAAAAUGGCAUCUAGGUAACUAUGAGCAUGCCGCAGUCUCGAAGCCAUAUGGACUUACAAUUGCUUGCUGCUCCUCAUCAGAAGAGUGGUGCACAUCAACCCACUCACCAUCCUCCUCCUCCUCACUGAGGCUGGCGCUUUCCCAUUCAUCUGUGGGAAUGAGCACAGCAAGAUGAGAGCUGCUCUCCUGCCUCUAAACUGGAACUGCAGGAUUGUUAAAGCACGAUGCAGGAAGUGGCAGCCCUACAGCUCACCUUGGUGAUCUUGGAGAAACACGCAGUUGUGAUAACAUUGACAGUUUUGGCAUCAUUCCUGGAAGAGAAAACGAUAUAAAUGCCACGGUGAGUCCUUCUGGCAUUAGAAUUUAAAGUGCUAC
rnacentral:lncRNA from 1 species